rnacentral:rRNA from 1 species
AAGACCUUUGCACUUUUGGAGCGGCCGAUGUCUGAUUAGCUAGUUGGUGGGGUAAUGGCCUACCAAAGCUUCGAUCAGUAGCUGGUCUGAGAGGACGGCCAGCCACACUGGGACUGAGACACGGCCCAGACUCCUACGGGAGGCAGCAGUGGGGAAUUUUGGACAAUGGGCGCAAGCCUGAUCCAGCCAUGCCGCGUGAGUGAAGAAGGCCUUCGGGUUGUAAAGCUCUUUCAGCCGGGAAGAAAAGGUUGCGAUUAAUAAUCGCAAUUUAUGACGGUACCGGAAGAAGAAGCACCGGCUAACUACGUGCCAGCAGCCGCGGUAAUACGUAGGGUGCGAGCGUUAAUCGGAAUUACUGGGCGUAAAGGGUGCGCAGGCGGUUUUGUAAGUCAGAUGUGAAAUCCCCGGGCUUAACCUGGGAACU